rnacentral:rRNA from 1 species
CGCGGCCUAUCAGCUUGUUGGUGGGGUAAUGGCCUACCAAGGCUUUGACGGGUAGCCGGCCUGAGAGGGUGACCGGCCACACUGGGACUGAGACACGGCCCAGACUCCUACGGGAGGCAGCAGUGGGGAAUAUUGGACAAUGGGCGGAAGCCUGAUCCAGCAACGCCGCGUGAGGGAUGACGGCCUUCGGGUUGUAAACCUCUUUCAGCACAGGCGAAGCUGUCCUCACGUGUGGGGGUGGUGACGGUAUGUGCAGAAGAAGCACCGGCCAACUACGUGCCAGCAGCCGCGGUAAUACGUAGGGUGCGAGCGUUGUCCGGAAUUAUUGGGCGUAAAGGGCUCGUAGGCGGUUUGUCGCGUCGGGAGUGAAAUCCACUGGCUUAACUGGUGGCUUGCUUUCGAUACGGGCAGACUGGAGGUAUGCAGGGGAGAACGGAAUUCCUGGUGUAGCGGUGAAAUGCGCAGAUAUCAGGAGGAACACCGGUGGCGAAGGCGGUUCUCUGGGCAUGUCCUGACGCUGAGGAGCGAAAGUGUGGGGAGCGAACAGGAUUAGAUACCCUGGUAGUCCACACCGUAAACGUUGGGCGCUAGGUGUGGGAUCCAUUCCACGGGUUCCGUGCCGCAGCUAACGCAUUAAGCGCCCCGCCUGGGGAGUAC